rnacentral:rRNA from 1 species
GUGCCAGCAGCCGCGGUAAUACGGAGGGUGCAAGCGUUGUUCGGAUUUACUGGGCGUAAAGAGCGAGCAGGUGGGUCGGCAAGUCCUGUGUGCAAUCUUUCGGCUCAACCGAAAAACUGCAUGGGAAACUACCGAUCUUGAGUGCGAGAGAGGAUGGCGGAAUUCCUGGUGUAGCGGUGAAAUGCGUAGAUAUCAGGAGGAACACCGGUGGCGAAGGCGGCCAUCUGGCUCGACACUGACACUCAGUCGCGAAGGUCGGGGGAGCAAACAGGAUUAGAAACCCGUGUAGUCC